UACGAAGGGGGCUAGCGUUGUUCGGAAUUACUGGGCGUAAAGGGCGCGUAGGCGGCCAGCACAAGUCAGUUGUGAAAUCUCCGAGCUUAACUCGGAAAGGUCAACUGAUACUGUGCGGCUAGAGUGCGGAAGGGGCAACUGGAAUUCUUGGUGUAGCGGUGAAAUGCGUAGAUAUCAAGAGGAACACCUGCGGCGAAGGCGGGUUGCUGGGCCGACACUGACGCUGAGGCGCGAAAGCCAGGGGAGCGAACGGG
rnacentral:rRNA from 1 species